UACGUAGGGCGCAAGCGUUGUCCGGAAUUAUUGGGCGUAAAGAGCUCGUAGGCGGUUUGUCGCGUCGGGUGUGAAAGCCCACGGCUUAACUGUGGGUCUGCAUUCGAUACGGGCAGGCUAGAGGCAGCUAGGGGAGCAUGGAAUUCCCGGUGUAGCGGUGAAAUGCGCAGAUAUCGGGAGGAACACCGGUGGCGAAGGCGGUGCUCUGGGGCUGUUCGUGACGCUGAGGAGCGAAAGCGAUGGGGAGCGAACGGAGGA
rnacentral:rRNA from 1 species